rnacentral:lncRNA from 1 species
UCCCGCCGGCGCGGCUCUCCAGAGCCGCUCGCGCGCGGCUGCGCCCGCUGCCGCCUCCUCCCACCGGCGCCGCUCGCCGGAGCCGCUCCGCUCGCGCGUGGCUGCGCACCCGACGCCGCCGCCUCCCGCCGGAGCCGCCUGCUUCCCUGCUCGCGUCGCGACGAAGAGGAAGGAGAGCUGGGGUCUGCUCACACCACCACUGCCACCGCCUCGCCUCCCUCUAAAGGUACAAAUCCACUCCUGCGCCACCCCUCCACCUCCUCUCUCUCUCUCUACCUACCUCCGCCGCCGCCUUCCACAUCAUUGCCAGAGACCAAGGUGACGACGUUGCAGGAGAGCGAUGCGGCUGCACUGUGUGGCUGGCAAGCACGUGGCCGGGCGCCGAGGAGCAAGCAGCCACGACCCAGAGCAGAGCUGCUGGAUCGUGCAGUUCACCCUGGUCAGCAUGUCUCAGCAGAUGCAAAGACAGUGGAACAUAUUUAUUUGGUGCUAAUUUUUGUUUGCAUCCAUGGAGUUAGGUUUAUAUCUAUUUUCGCAUUGCAUUUACAUGGAAUUAGAAUGAGGAGUAUUGAAAGAAGAAAGAUGGUGGUGGAUCAUGGGGCAGCGUCGAGGAACAUACAGGAAUGUUCAGGGGCAUAUGUUGGUCUGAACUUGAAAUGUUUGAACUUUGGUCACUCAUUGCUUCUGAACCGCUGCAACCUCUACUUAGUGACUUAAUCUUCUAUAUUUGGUUGUGAAUUGCUCUUCAAUGUUCUAACAUUGGUCAAUGACCGAGUUAAAAUGCUUUUACAACUGUACAUAUUUGUUGAUGUGUAUGUGCAUUUCAGUUUUAAAUCUUUAGAGCCUUUAAUGCAGUAUCCAUCCUUGUUUUUGCUUUAUUUUUGUGUGAGA